GCCGGGCGGGAAGGGCCGGUGCUGCCACCUGCCGCACGGCUCCAGAGGGAGGGGAGCGGGGAACGGGCGGCUGCGCGGGAAGCGGCCGCGUGCGCAUCUCUCCCCCCACCCCCUCGCAGGCGGCGGCUCGGGAGGAAGCCCGGAGCGGGACGGACGAGCGACGGCUGGGCUGCACGGCGGGGCAGGAAGGCUUUCGGGAGGCUGAAGCACCAUCACCGCCGCGAUUACCACCUCUCGGCCCUCUCCAGCUCCGUGUUCCCGGGGGCGUUCGCGGGCUGCAAUAACGCGGCCUUCCAAAGGAGCCCCCAUCACCUGCCCCAGUGCGGCUCGCACCCCGGAGCGUGGCUGUGGCCGCAGCUGGCAUCGCAGCCGCACGCAGCGCCCCGCAGCCCGCCGAGCCGCCAGCACCGCCGCCUGCAGCCGCCACACGGACCGGGCCGCUUCGACCGGCCCCGCAUCCUGCCGCCCGGCUACUACCGAAGCUGUGCGGAACACAAUCUCUCAAACGUUUGCGGGAGGCCCGUUUGAAAGCUGAAACCGUCGUUCAAUUUGAUGAUUAUUUCCCUUCUCCCUUUCUUUCUUCCUCAAAACACCACAGAGCUCAGAAAAGUGUUCACAAGAGCCAAUUACUGCACCUGGGUUUUCAAACAGAGAAAACUGGACACUUCACAUGGAAAGGCUUAUAUGAUGCAAUCCUUUUAUUCCCCUCCCUCUCCGUCCAGAAGUGCACGUUUCAAGCAGUUCCCAUAUUAGCAGCUUCUCAGCUCAUCACUCAGGGGAAAUGCAUAAAGCCAAGUGGAACGGCCCUACUUGAAGCUACAGGCAGGUGUAGACGCCCCUGUUUUAAACACAGAGGUCAGAUUUUCUGUUUAGGGCUCUUGUAAAGGCUGAGUGAGCACUGCCUGCUACCGGAACAAGGACUCCACGUCAUUAGAUGAUUCUGAGUAUUUGCAAGUUGUUGCCCUUGUAAAGGGUUUUGGUGGUGGCUGUUGUUGCUUAGAAUCUGCACCAUCCUCCUAUCCCUGCAAACAGUCUUGGACUUGCAAGAUGCAUUGACAAGUGUGUAAAGAUAACCAGCCAAGAGGAAAGCAUUACACUUCUCCUAAUAAAGGUGUCUUUCCCCAUUCCACCUCCUGUGUCUUCUUUUCACACCACCAGAUAACAGGGAGGCAGCAGCUGUAACAGCUUCCACAGAUCCCCUUCAGAAGAGCGUAUCACCUGCAGCAGACACUUAGGAGCAACCACACCACAAGAGGGAAAAGCCUUUCAUUCCCACAUAGCAAGCAAAGCUGCAGAAAGCACCUUGUGUUUCCCUUUGGCUCAUACCCUACCUUUGAUGUUUUCCCCCUCCCUCUUUUUCCAGCUGAGCCUAACUCAGCCCUGCAGCACUUGGCAGACUGCACAGACUGUGGUAAACCUCCGUAAGCAUCAGAGCUGCCCAGUGCUCCCACUCACUGGCAGGGCACCAGAAUGGUUCGCAGUGGAAUCUCAUUACAAUUUCCCUUCUGUCCAGUGAGAUUUUCAUGCAAGAAAUCCCAACCAGAAAACCACAUUCAGGGACACAUUCACAGUUCCCAUUUCCUUGGAUCCAAGCAAAAGAAGUGGAACGGGGUUAUGUUUUUGCUUUUGCUACGUAGAGAUUGACACCUGCUUUCACUGCAGACUGUGGUGAUGCACAUUUCAGAAGCAAUCUAAGCUCCAAGAGCAGAUCAUCAGCAGGGAGGAACCUGCAGACCAUCCUCAAAAUCUAUCUCAGACUGGCAGGAGAAUGAAGCCAAUGGGAGGAAGAUGGGGUAAGUGCAGGAAGCCCAGCUCUAUCACAGGUUUCCCUAUCAGUCACUCGAUCUAUACCACAGUUCCUUCUCACCUUGCCUCAGUCCAGCAAAGAACUGAGAUUGUGAAGAGCUGUGAUCAGCUUUGCCCUAGGAAGGUGCCAUUUGUCAGAAGAGGAAGGAGAAGGAAGGUAGCUACAAACAAGCUUCAGGUAAUUCGUGAACAGAACGAGAAAGCAAUUUCUAUCCCAAACAAACUUCACCAUCAGUUGCUUAUUAUUUGAACAGAGAAUGAACUCAUCCUCAGUUCUUGAUAACAAGGCAUUAAGGGUAAGAUUCCACACUGUGAAACCUCAGCCUGCAUGCUUAUUUAGAAAUAAUUUAAACAAGUUUUGGUCAAAAUUUUACAUUCCUCAGAUAAGCUCAGCUUAUUGGCCUGCUAUGGACUGUCAGACCCUCUCUGAAGACCUGGGCGAGAUUAGCAUUAAUACCUGUAACAUUCAGGUGCUAAAGCUAUGAAAUCUCAAGACACAUUCUUCAUGGUCCCCAGAAGAAUAGAGCAACACUGUGUCAGUACAAGCUUUCUAGACUGCUGCUUUAAGUGCUGCUGCCCUGGUAAUGCUACACCAGUAUCACCACAUCAGCUCUACCCUGAACCAUUUUUUGUCACAUAACAGCAAUAAGCCUAGGGCAGACUCCAGGAGGAAGGAAAUACGAAGAUCUCACUCUCUCAAGUGCUGUAUAUGAGAUCAAAGUGUACUGAGUUUACACCGUUUCUUACACCGUACCCCAAAGCUCUGAUGAUAUUUCAUAGAUAGGAUUCGAGAGCUGCUUCCCAUCAGUAGGAUGUUCCAAAGCAGGGAAAAUGAGGCGCUGGGAUUUAGGAGGUAAGGAAGGAGCACAAGUUUUUACAGUUACUACCCAUAUGUUCAACAGUAGUGACUGAUAAUACAUCAGUGGUAGGCAUUCUUAUCACUAGCCAGAGCUGCACAGUGCUGGAAGCUGUAAAGUAGCACCAUCCAGCAAACGGCACUUCACACCUCUCUGCUCUGUGCACACUAGGAUUUCCUGUCUGCUGGCAUUCACUCACCUCAGGAGUUAGAAUUUCCUAUGGCCCCUUCAGGUGGGAUGGGUGACAGCUCCAAGGCCCUGACCUUGAAGCACUGUGCCACCUCUCAAAGCACAACUCACCUCAGUUCUGAGCAGUAUGAGCUUGUAGGUAGCUAGGAAGUGACAUUAUACCCUCUGCUGUCACUCCAGAUAGAUGCAAUUUCCUUGUAAGAUGAUGAUGAUUACUUUUUAAAUCAACCUUCAGCAUCAACACAGCACUGCUGAACCCACAAUUACUACAACUGAACAGAGAAUUCUUUGGCUAACAACUCCCUUCCUUCCUUUAACGUACGUUCAUACUCAUUUUGGAGGUGUACGAUCCAUUCUCUCUUUCUCCAAUUUCAUCUCCACCACAGCCCAGUUAGCCAAGCACUGGUCUUGUUAUCACGCAAGGAAGUACUGAAGAUGUUCAUAAUACACACAACAAGAAAGGCAGGCCAAACACUGAGAUGAUUACACAUAUGAAGCAGACACGCGAACUCCCUCCUUUCAAUAAAGUGCCUGUACAGAACUUCUUGCGGUAGGAACAAACAGUCCAUAAACAACAAAAAAACCUCAGGAGGAACCAGCAGAGGCCCACGCAGCUGAACAAAGUGAAAUGUCCAGUUGUGCAGGAAUCAGCACCGGACACAAGAUUCAUUCCCCUGCCAGCCUAGGGUUCAGGGCUCUGCUCUGUCCUGUGGAAGGCAGCCAGACCAAGCUGUACAGGUGAGAAAUCCUUCUGCUCAGGCAUUUCUAGUUCUGGCUCCCCAACCAUCCCCAUGAACUGGGCUCUGAAAGAUUAAACACAGCACCUCAGUCACAAGGCUGCUGGUUUUAAGUAUCAGAGCAGGUCUCCAGCUAGAAAUAGAAGAGCUUGUUGGAGAUCUGUCAGCUAAGACUUCAGGCCCUGCUGCACAGUGAAAAUACUUCACACCUUUGUUUAAAACAAGGAUGCAAGUUCUAACUAGGAUUCUUGUCAUGUGUUGAGGCAUUAUUAUAUUCUGUCUGUCCCAAGUGACAUGGUAUGUCCAAUUGAGAAAGUGUAAACUUCACCGUUCCGUGUUUCAGAUUUAAAAUGAUGCCAAUAAGGGUUUAAGGCAUUCUCCAGCUAUUAUAACAAGUAAAUACAUCAGAAUCCCUUCAAAAAUGUAACAAUUCUACGCGUUUUCCAUCCUUUGGUACAAAAGUUAUCACACAGUGCAGUAUUUCAAUGGAAAAGUUGCUCCACUUCAGAUGAAUUGGAGGAAGGAACCAUGCAAGAAUAUACAGUUUUACCAGAUGCAAUGCUUCAAAACCCAAGUUUCUUAAAAAAAGAAAGGCCAACACAAAGUCAUCAUCAAGUUCUCUGUUUUAUUUAAGAUUUUAGUUUUAAUUCUGAAGAAAGAGGUACAUUUCCUUGGUUUUAGUUUUAGCGUCAGGUUAUAACCAGGUUUAUCUGUUUCUUUUUUCCUGUCUUUUCAAUACUGCACAAACGUCCAGAAACUACAGGGUUAAGUAAAAGCUGCAGGCAGAGGAGGUCAGAGGUUGCUCCUGAUGAUGAUCAUGUGGCCCCAAUGCAGUGCUAUCCCAGAGUGCCCCAAUCAGGUGAAUCUUUGUGGGUUUUAUUUUCUUUAAAAAAAAAAAAAAAAA